UACGAGUGCCCCGAGCGUUAUCCGGAAUCAUUGGGCGUAAAGGGUGUGUAGGUGGCAGUGUUAGUCGGUUGUUAAAACCUGGGGCUCAACCCCAGAUCCGCGACCGAAACGGCACAGCUAGAGGAUGCGAGGGAUGUAUGGAACUCAUGGAGUAGGGGUGAAAUCCGUUGAUAUCAUGGGGAACACCAAAAGCGAAAGCAGUACAUUGGCGCAUUCCUGACACUGAAACACGAAAGCGUGGGUAGCGAAUGGG
rnacentral:rRNA from 1 species